GUAACACACAAGGGCAGAGGGGAUCAGAAGAAGAAGAAAGGAGAAAGGUGAACCAGGAUGAAAUGAAACCGAUGGUGGAGUCUUGCCAACUGAUGAAAGAACCUGCAUAUAGACAAGGUGGAAAAGGGGCUCCUGGAACUUGACCCUGACCAGGUGUUAGGAGCCCCAUUAGUCAUCAUUCCAGUUGUGGAGAAGGGAUCUGUCAUGCUCGUCAACACAAAUUGCCCCUGAUGGGUAGGUAGACUGCUCUUCAGAUGACAGAAUCAUGCUGGAAGCCUUUGCGGUUUGGUAGAACUUGUCACAUCCUGGGAUUUGCCAGCACAGCUUUUGAGCACCCAGGGUCAUCUCCAUUCUGAUCAGCUGCACCAUCUAAAUAAAACUUAAUUGUGAUAU